GUGGGGAAUUUUGGACAAUGGGCGCAAGCCUGAUCCAGCAAUGCCGCGUGCAGGAAGAAGGCCUUCGGGUUGUAAACUGCUUUUGUACGGAACGAAACGGUCCGGGUUAAUACCCUGGGCUAAUGACGGUACCGUAAGAAUAAGCACCGGCUAACUACGUGCCAGCAGCCGCGGUAAUACGUAGGGUGCAAGCGUUAAUCGGAAUUACUGGGCGUAAAGCGUGCGCAGGCGGUUUUGUAAGACAGGCGUGAAAUCCCCGGGCUCAACCUGGGAAUUGCGCUUGUGACUGCAAGGCUGGAGUGCGGCAGAGGAGGAUGGAAUUCCGCGUGUAGCAGUGAAAUGCGUAGAUAUGCGGAGGAACACCGAUGGCGAAGGCAAUCCCCUGGGCCUGCACUGACGCUCAUGCACGAAAGCGUGGGGAGCAAACAGGAUUAGAAACCCUGGUAGUCC
rnacentral:rRNA from 1 species